rnacentral:tRNA from 1 species
GAAUUGAAAGCUAAUAACAAGCAUCGAUCUUGUAAAUCGAAGAUAGAGAUCUCUCUCAAUUCU